CCUACGGGAGGCAGCAGUGGGGAAUAUUGGUCAAUGGGCGCUAGCCUGAACCAGCCAAGUAGCGUGAAGGAUGACUGCCCUCUGGGUUGUAAACUUCUUUUAUAUGGGAAUAAAGUGCAGUAUGUAUACUGCUUUGCAUGUACCUUAUGAAUAAGGAUCGGCUAACUCCGUGCCAGCAGCCGCGGUAAUACGGAGGAUCCGAGCGUUAUCCGGAUUUAUUGGGUUUAAAGGGAGCGUAGGCGGGUUGUUAAGUCAGGUGUGAAAGUUGGGGGCUCAACCGUAAAAUUGCAGUUGAUACUGGGAACCUUGAGUACAGUAGAGGUAGGCGGAAUUCGUGGUGUAGCGGUGAAAUGCUUAGAUAUCAGGAGGAACUCCGAUUGCGAAGGCAGCCUGCUGGACUGUAACUGACGCUGAUGCUCGAAAGUGUGGGUAGCAAACAGGAUUAGAUACCCCUGUAGUC
rnacentral:rRNA from 1 species